GACGAACGCUGGCGGCGUGCUUAUCACAUGCAAGUCGAACGGUGAAGCGCCUUCCUUUUUGGUGGGUGUGGAUGAGUGGCGAACGGGUGAGUAACACGUGAGUAACCUGCCCCCUUCUUCUGGAUAACCGCAUGAAAGUGUGGCUAAUACGGGAUAUUCUGGGUCUGUCGCAUGAUGGGUCUGGGAAAGAUAUUGUUUCGGUGGGGGAUGGGCUCGCGGCCUAUCAGCUUGUUGGUGGGGUGAUGGCCUACCAAGGCGGUGACGGGUAGCCGGCCUGAGAGGGUGGACGGUCACACUGGGACUGAGACACGGCCCAGACUCCUACGGGAGGCAGCAGUGGGGAAUAUUGCACAAUGGGCGCAAGCCUGAUGCAGCGACGCCGCGUGAGGGAUGGAGGCCUUCGGGUUGUGAACCUCUUUCGCCAGUGAAGCAGGCCUGCCUCGUUUGUGGGUGGGUUGACGGUAGCUGGAUAAGAAGCGCCGGCUAACUACGUG
rnacentral:rRNA from 1 species